rnacentral:rRNA from 1 species
UAGCAGACUGAUGCAGCCAUGCCGCGUGUAUGAAGAAGGCCUUCGGGUUGUAAAGUACUUUCCGCUUGGAAGGAAGGUGUUGAGGUUAAUAACCUCAUCAAUUGACCUUUCCCGCACAAGAAGCACCGGCUAACUCCGUGCCAGCAGCCGCGGUAAUACCGAGGGUGCAAGCGUUAAUCGGAAUUACUGGGCGUAAAGCGCACGCAGGCGGGCUGUUAAGUCAGAUGUGAAAUCCCCGGGCUUAACCUGGGAACUGCAUUUGAGACUGGCAGGCUUGAGUCUCGUAGACGGGGGUCUAAAGUGCAGGUGCAGCGGGUGAAAUUUUGUAGAGAUCUAGCAGGAAUAC